UACGGAGGAUGCGAGCGUUAUCCGGAUUUAUUGGGUUUAAAGGGUGCGUAGGCGGCUUUUUAAGUCAGCGGUGAAAUUUUGCGGCUCAACCGUAAAAGUGCCUUCGAUACUGGUUUUCUUGAGUGUAGCUGAAGUAGGCGGAAUUUGUGGUGUAGCGGUGAAAUGCUUAGAUAUCACGAGGAACUCCGAUUGCGCAGGCAGCUUACUAAACCAUAACUGACGCUCAGGCACGAAGGCGUGGGGAUCAAACAGGAUUAGAUACCCCUGUAGUCCCU
rnacentral:rRNA from 1 species